AUUGAACGCUGGCGGCAGGCCUAACACAUGCAAGUCGAACGAGUGGCGGACGUGUGAGUAAUGUCUGGGACUCUGCCCGAGGGAGGGGGACAACUACUGGACACUGUAUCUAACACCGCCUACCAUCGGAUCGGCCCAGAUGGGAUUAGCUAGUAGGUGGGGAAAAGGCUCACCUAGUCGACGAUCCCUAGCGGGUCUGAGAGGAUGACCAGCCACACUGGAACUGAGACACGGUCCAGACUCCUACGGGAGGCAGCAGUGGGGAAUAUUGCACAAUGGGCGCAAGCCUGAUGCAGCCAUGCCGCGUGUAUGAAGAAGGCCUUCGGGUUGUAAAGUACUUUCAGCGGGGAGGCGUUACCAGCAGAAGAAGCACCGGCUAACUCCGUGCCAGCAGCCGCGGUAAUUC
rnacentral:rRNA from 1 species